rnacentral:rRNA from 1 species
UACGAAGGGGGCUAGCGUUGCUCGGAAUCACUGGGCGUAAAGCGCACGUAGGCGGAUUGCUAAGUCAGGGGUGAAAUCCUGGAGCUCAACUCCAGAACUGCCUUUGAUACUGGCGACCUUGAGUCCGGGAGAGGUGAGUGGAACUGCGAGUGUAGAGGUGAAAUUCGUAGAUAUUCGCAAGAACACCAGUGGCGAAGGCGGCUUACUGGUCCGGGUACUGACGCUGAGGUGCGAAAGCGUGGGGAGCAAACAGG